AACAGGAGAAUGUGUCAGUCAGUCAGAUGAGCAGUCCUUACCUUUAAAUCUACCCUCUCUUCUUCCUCUCUCUGUUUGUGAGCUGAUAGUAACACUGCAUUUAAAAUGACCUGACACUUAAAAAACGUCACUCCCUUUAUGCUCGCUCCUCUUCAGUAGCACAAGCUAGAUGCUGAAUUACCACAACUUACAGACACCUGCAGUUGUUCCGGUGUUGUGCAAAAACAAAACAAACACAGUUCCACUUUUAACCCCAGACUUUGGCACAGUAAUCUCUUUUUACGUGACAUCCUCUGGCGGUUAAUAAACAGCCUGCCAUAUGUUUCUGUUUAGGCUGAAAUUAGUUUCAUGUUUGGAGCCUUACAAUGACAGAACUGCAUUAAGCAAAGGUAACAAGCCUUUUUACAAAAUGUAAGGAGUACAAAGUACAGAUAUUUGUAGUACAAAGUCAGAAAAAAAAGCAACCCAAAAACAUCUGCCAGUACAAUACAAAUUAAGAGUGUGUGUGCGUAUCUCGGCACCUCCCCUUCCUGUUAUUGGUCUGUGCUUAAAUGCUGGUGUUUCUAACGUUUUCUCUUGUUUUGAAAGCUCAGAGAACCAGUGAAGACAAAAGAAGGCAUGGCCGUCCACCAGCAGCCCACCCAGGUGGUGACAGUCAUCAGGACCAUUGAAAACUCUGGCCAAUGGAGCACCGACCUCUGUGAUUGCUGCUCUGAUAUGGAGAGCUGUUGCUGUGGCCUUUGCUGUUUUCCCUGCAUGCAGUGUGAUGCAGCCAAUAAACAUGGAUGGUGCUGUGCAAUGCCACUCCUGGACGUUUGUGGUGUGGUGUCCUGCUUACUCCGUGGAUCCAUCAGAGAGCGCCACAACAUCUAUGGCUCGUUCACUGAUGACUGCUGUAAAGUGUGCUUUUGCUACCCGUGUGUUUGGUGCCAGAUGCAUCGUGAGCUGAAGCUCAGGCAAUACCAUUAGCCCGCCACCUCUACUGUGAUCACCACGCAAGUCGUCUGUGGGCCUAUGUCACUGCUGAACCAAAUUGCUUUAAAUCUGUUGUCAUAUAAUGUGUUGAACGCCUAUGUGACUUUUUCAGGCCAAUAAAAUCCUGUAAUUCUAUGCAA